GUUAAAAUAGCAUGUAUCAAAUGUUAAAUUUAAAUAUGUAAAGUUUAGCUCAGAAUAUAUACCUUUACAUGUAUUUAAUUCCUUGAACUUAAAAAAUAUUUUUCAUCGCUGUAAUAUUUGUUUAAUUGAUAUAGAGGUUGCUCAUUUCCUUUUGUGCAAAUGACCUCGAAGGCAUAAUUUGAAAUAAAAAAUAACACAAAUAACACAUUCUGUGUAACUGAUAAACAUGUUUCUUCACUAUGGAGCUUUGCCUCAUAUCUUCACCAGAAACUUAAGACAUGAAGGAAAAUGUUUAAACUGUUUUGUAACUUUUUGAAAAUCGUACAUGUAUGUCUGCCUACACAUGUGAAUCGUUUAAGUAUCGAAAGAUUUUCAAAUGAAAGUUCGAUACUUCUAUAUCAUUGCUUUUUUUACUUAGUAUACGGAUACUAUUUCUCUGAUUUAUCUGUGAUAUUUUCUUUCAAUAAACCUUGCAUUUAGCUUUG
rnacentral:misc_RNA from 1 species